CCUACGGGCGGCAGUGGGGAAUAUUGCACAAUGGGGGAAACCCUGAUGCAGCGACGCCGCGUGAGCGAUGAAGUAUUUCUGUAUGUAAAGCUCUAUCAGCAGGGAAGAAAAUGACGGUACCUGACUAAGAAGCCCCGGCUAACUACGUGCCAGCAGCCGCGGUAAUACGUAGGGGGCAAGCGUUAUCCGGAUUUACUGGGUGUAAAGGGAGCGUAGACGGUCCUGCAAGCCAGAUGUGAAAGCCCGGGGCUCAACCCCGGGACUGCAUUUGGAACUGUAAGGCUAGAGUGUAGGAGAGGCAGGCGGAAUUGCUAGUGUAGCGGUGAAAUGCGUAGAUAUUAGGAGGAACACCAGUGGCGAAGGCGGCCUGCUGGACGAUGACUGACGUUGAGGCUCGAAAGCGUGGGGAGCAAACAGGAUUAGAUACCCCAGUAGUC
rnacentral:rRNA from 1 species